rnacentral:rRNA from 1 species
CAGUCGCCACGGGAAUACGUAGGUGGCAAGCGUUGUCCGGAAUUAUUGGGCGUAAAGGGAGCGUAGGCGGAUCGUUUAGUCAGGGGUGAAAUCCCGGGGCUCAACCUCGGAACUGCCUUUGAUACUGGCGAUCUUGAGUAUGGGAGAGGUGUGUGGAACUCCGAGUGUAGAGGUGAAAUUCGUAGAUAUUCGGAAGAACACCAGUGGCGAAGGCGACACACUGGCCCAUUACUGACGCUGAGGCUCGAAAGCGUGGGGAGCAAACAGGAUUAGAUACCCGUGUAGUCCCUGUCUCUUAUAC